rnacentral:lncRNA from 1 species
GCUCCUGAGCUCAAGCUAUCCACUUGCCUCAGCCUCCCAAAUUGCUGAGAUUAGAAGAAUGAGCCACUGUGCCUGUGACUUACUUCUAACCCACAGAAUAGAGCAACAGUGAGAGGAUGUCAAUUCUGUGAUAGAUUGCAAAAUAUUGUAAGUUCCUAGCAGUCUUUCUCAUUGGUUUCAAUAAAAAAAAGCUGCUGUGCUGGAGGGACCCAUGAGGCAAAGAACUGAGAGCAGCCUUUAGCUAACAGCCGGCAAGGAAUGAGGUGCUUGGUCCAGCAAUCACAGAGAAACUGAAUCCUGCUGAUGAUCAUGAGGGUGAGCUUGGAAGCAGAUUCUGUCCCAGAUGAACUUUGAUUGUGUCUUGUUAGAAACCCUGGACCAACUCCUUGAUUGCACCUGUGAGAGGCCCUGAAGCGGAGGGCCCAGCUAAGGUGUGUCUGGAUUUCUGACCCACAGAAACUGAGAUCAUAAAUGUGUGGUUUUAAGCCCGUAAGUUUUGGAAUACAGUAGAUCUUCAUUAUUCACAGAUUUUGCACUUGCAAAUUUGCUUACUCGCUAAAAUUUAUUUGUAUCCCUAAAAUCAGUACUCCAGCACUUUCACAGUCAUUUACGGCAUCUGCAGAGCAGUGAAAAAUUUGAAUUGCCUGAGAUACAUGCUCCCUGCUGAAGUCGCACAAGCUGGCCAAUCCUGCUAAUCCUUUAAAACUCACCUGGAGGGAAGGCCUCCUUCUGCAAAGCCUCUCUUGAUGCAGAUUAUCAGCUUUCACUCUCUACCAGAUGGCAAGGAUAUUGCUGUUGGCUCAUAGGAUGUGAACAGUGGUGUUGAGAUUACCCUCAUUUGGCUGAUGAUGUCAUUGAGGCCCAGAGAAGGUAAGUAAUGUACCAAGGUUACAGACUAGUAAGUGACAGAGAUGGGUUUUGAGCCCCAUUCUUCUACAUUGUGUGCAAUAGCUCAUAUCAAGGUCACUAAAGCUGAAGACUGAAUUAUUUAUUCAAAUACUGCCAUCAUGCACCAAUAUUCUCAACAGGUAGGACACCUGGCAGGGCCUGGCUUUGGGGCUAACUUCUGCAGCUCUUUUGAUUGCCCCCACCUUACAGUUUUUGGCACAGAGCACUGUGUAGCUGGCACUUCUCUACUGGCCCGAAUGAGAAAACUUCCUCAGAGCAAAAUGUCAAGCACCAAAUAAGAUUCAUGUUUACUGUGAAGUGAUUGCUGCUUUUUAAAUGCUUAUCAGAAGCCGAAGGACAAACUCAGUAGGUUGAUUCAUGCUGAGCUCGACUACCUCCGUGAGAAAUGACUCUCCUGUAGGGCUCGAUGACCUUCAUGUCAAUGCGCUGCUCUUGUUCUCCAAUGACCACUGUCCUCCAAAGCCGGUUGUCCUCCCGUUCCUCUUCGGCCGUAUAUUCUGGAAUAGACUCUGACUCUUGGCCAGAAUCUUUGUUGGCUGUGGGAUCUUCUGGAAACAAAGCACAGAGCAAGGCUGAAGGAGCAAGACCUCCACAGUGCAGCUAAACAGCCAAAUGAGUCUCCCGCAAGUCAGGAAAACUGGAUAAAAAGAGGCCUAAAUGUGAGCAAGAGCUAUCAUGUUUGGCUUCAAGUAUAUCCGCUACAUCCUACCUUCUCUGUGACGACUUUGAAAAGUGUCCAUGAAUUCUUUGACACUCUUUUCAAAAGGUGGAGCCUAAUUUCCCGUCCCUUAAGUGUGGACUGAUGAUUUGCUUCUAAAGAACAGAAUAAGGUGGAAUGGAUGGUAGGUGACUUCUAAGGCUAGGUCCUAAAAAGCACUGUGUGCUUUGUUCUCUCUUGGGUCUCUCAGUCUGGGAGAAACCAGCUACCCUGUUGUAAGGACAGUCAAGCAGCCCUGUGGAGAGUCCAUGUGGCAAGGAACUGAGGCUUCCUGUGAAAAUCCAGGAAGGAACUGAAGCCUUCUGCCAACAGCCAUGUGAACGAGCCAUCUUGGAGGCAGAUCCUGCAGCCUGGCUAAUGUCUUGAUGGCAACUUAACAAGAUACCUUAAGCCAGAACCAUCUAGCUAAUACACUCUUGAAUUCCUAUUACAAACACUGGGAAAUAAUCAAUGUUUGUUGUUUUAAGCUGCUAAACUUUGAUAUUAUUUAUUUUAUUCAUUUAUUUUUUG